UGGAGAUGAGGAGGUCAAACUGAGGGGCCUUUGUGUUGGAGGAAUUGCCCAUAUAAUGUACUGAAGUCACUGAGGAUGAUGGUGGACCUUCAGGAGAGAGGAGGAUCAUGGGCUAAAGAUUAAAGUCUUCACGACUGCCUGGUGGAAAUACAGUAUUAUAUAAUGACAUGCUAUUAUGCAUCUCUACCUAACUCCUCGUCUGGUGAUGCCAUAUUGAAAUCAGCCUUACUGAGAGUAUUUACACACUGCUGAAGUCAGUAAAUGCUACAAAUCAAGGCUUGAAUGUAACCUACAUGAGAAAGAGUUGCCUUGCUCACUGCCGUAUCCCAGUAUCCCAAGCACCUUGGAGAUGCUCUAUGAAUACUGAAUGAAUCUGAGAGGAAACUAGCCCGAAGGGGGAAGGCUCUGGAAGCAAGCCCUCAUGGACCAAUGGAGAAAAAGGAAACUGAAUCUUGGGGAGAUUAAGCAACUCUUUCAAGGUCCACUGGGGAGCAGCAGAACCAGAGUUCGAAGGAAACCUUUCUGAAUCUGACGUCUGCCCCUUCUAAAUUAGGACUCUUAUCUAUCAGCCUGUGAGAAAAAAUACAGAAAGCAUCAUUCAGGCAACACAUGAACUGAAGACACUGAGACUUCGCUAACCUUCCUCGCACACAAGGUCCUAAAGGAACUACCACACGCAUGUCCACAUUUGAUGCACAUAACAGACUCUCACCGCAUUGAAAUAAACCCCAGUAUGAUCAUAA
rnacentral:antisense_RNA from 1 species